rnacentral:rRNA from 1 species
AUAAAAGAUGAUUUCUGCUCAGUGUUUAUAAACAGCCGCAGUAAUUUGACUGUGCAAAGGUAGCAUAAUCAUUUGCCUCAUAAUUGGGGGCUUGUAUGAAUGGAAUAACGAAAAUUUUACUGUCUUUUAUUUUUUAUUAUAAAUUGUAUUUAAUGUGAAGAUACAUUGAUUUUUUAAUGGGACAAGAAGACCCUUUUGAGCUUUAAUUUGGUUGGGGCGACCUAGGAAGACUUCCUUUUAUAAAGAACCAAUUUUUUUGGUUUAUAGAUUAAGUUACCAUAGGGAUAACAGCGUAAUUUUUUUUGAGAGUUCUUAUUAAUAAUUAAGAUUGCGACCUCGAUGUUGACUUAUAGUUUCCUUUUGGUGCAGUAGCUAAUAGGGUGGGU